AGCAGCCGCGGUAAUACCGGCGGCCCGAGUGGCGGUCACUAUUAUUGGGCUUAAAGCGUCCGUAGCCGGGUUGGUAAGUCCUCCGGGAAAUCUGGUCGCUUAACGAUCAGACUUCCGGAGGAUACUGCUGGCCUAGGGACCGGGAGAGGCCGAGGGUAUUCCCGGGGUAGGGGUGAAAUCCUGUAAUCCCGGGAGGACCACCUGUGGCGAAGGCGCUCGGCUGGAACGGGUCCGACGGUGAGGGACGAAGGCCAGGGGAGCGAACCGGAUUAGAUACCCGGGUAGUCCUGGCGGUAAACGAUGCGGACUAGGUGUCGGGCAAGCUAAGGGCUUGUCCGGUGCCGCAGGGAAGCCGUUAAGUCCGCCGCCUGGGGAGUACGGCCGCAAGGCUGAAACUUAAAGGAAUUGGCGGG
rnacentral:rRNA from 1 species